rnacentral:lncRNA from 1 species
AACGCCAUGGCUAAAAAUAAAAAAGAAAAACAAUAGUACACACGACACAACAUAGAAAACUAAAGAAUAAACAACACGAACCCCACCAAAAACUAGGGGUGAUCUCAGGUGCUCCGGAAGGGUAAGCAGAUUCUGCUCCACAUGUGGCACCCGUCGUGUUGCUUAAGUGAUUACAAAUCCGGUAAAUAGUCUAAUUCGGUAGGUCAUAUUCAUGAAAGGGAAGGGGAUUGUAGUUACGACGUAAGGAACAUAUCCGAUAUCAUUUGUGAAACGGUUAUUCC